GCCAUACCGCGUGGGUGAAGAAGGCCUUCGGGUUGUAAAGCCCUUUUGUUGGGAAAGAAAUCCAGCCGGCUAAUACCUGGUUGGGAUGACGGUACCCAAAGAAUAAGCACCGGCUAACUUCGUGCCAGCAGCCGCGGUAAUACGAAGGGUGCAAGCGUUACUCGGAAUUACUGGGCGUAAAGCGUGCGUAGGUGGUCGUUUAAGUCCGUUGUGAAAGCCCUGGGCUCAACCUGGGAACUGCAGUGGAUACUGGGCGACUAGAGUGUGGUAGAGGGUAGCGGAAUUCCUGGUGUAGCAGUGAAAUGCGUAGAGAUCAGGAGGAACAUCCAUGGCGAAGGCAGCUACCUGGACCAACACUGACACUGAGGCACGAAAGCGUGGGGAGCAAACAGGAUUAGAUACCCUGGUAGUCCACGCCCUAAACGAUGCGAACUGGAUGUUGGGUGCAAUUUGGCACGCAGUAUCGAAGCUAACGCGUUAAGUUCGCCGCCUGGGGAGUACGGUCGCAAGACUGAAACUCAAUGAAUUUGACGG
rnacentral:rRNA from 1 species